rnacentral:hammerhead_ribozyme from 1 species
GUGCAGAUGAAGAAUCCCAGCACAGGACGAAACAGUUGUCUGGUAC